GACGAACGCUGGCGGCGUGCUUAACACAUGCAAGUCGAACGAUGAAGCCGGAGCUUGCUCCGGUGGAUUAGUGGCGAACGGGUGAGUAACACGUGAGCAAUCUGCCCUUGACUCUGGGAUAACUGCGGGAAACUGUAGCUAAUACCGGAUACGACACCUUGGGGCAUCCAAGGGUGUGGAAAGAAUUUCGGUCAAGGAUGAGCUCGCGGCCUAUCAGCUAGUUGGUGAGGUAAUGGAGCACCAAGGCGACGACGGGUAGCCGGCCUGAGAGGGUGACCGGCCACACUGGAACUGAGACACGGUCCAGACUCCUACGGGAGGCAGCAGUGGGGAAUAUUGCACAAUGGGCGAAAGCCUGAUGCAGCAACGCCGCGUGAGGGAUGAAGGCCUUCGGGUCGUAAACCUCUUUUAGCAGGGAAGAAGCGAAAGUGACGGUACCUGCAGAAAAAGCACCGGCUAACUACGUGCCAGCAGCCGCCGCCG
rnacentral:rRNA from 1 species